rnacentral:tRNA from 1 species
GCCUGGGUGGCUCAGUCGGUUGAGCGUCCGACUUCGGCUCAGGUCAUGAUCUCACGGCUCGUGGGUUCGAGCCCCGCGUCAGGCU